AGUGGACUCUUCAGUAGAGACGGUUCUAUGGAAAAUGCAUCAGUUAAUGAUGACUGACAGCUUGCCGCCUACCUCUGUUUAAAUUUUAAACAAAGCAAGUUGACUACGAUGGGUCAAAAGAAAUGAAUAAGGUGAAAUACUGUGUCUAAUGUGGGCGCCAUAGUUACGGAAGAAUGUGAAGGCCUUUGUGACUUGACCAAAAUCAAUCCCUCCAUCAACAAGACGAGAACAGAUUAUCUGGGCGUGAUAUUACAAUUUACUGCCCAAAGGAAAAAUGUGGUCACCUGGCAGUCGUCACUCCAGCUGAUCUGCAGAACGGUGGCUGAAGUCAGUGUACUAGAGCAUCUGUAACAAAGAAAACUUCUAUGCUGUCUGAUGUACUGUAUACUUCCAGCAUUUUCUGUUUUAAUUUCAGAUUUCCAGUAGUUCGCUGUAAAACAUUUGUGACGUCCAGAAAUUACAAACAACUUUAUAUGUAUUACCUUUCUCUAAAACAAAUUUGAAUCUGUCAUGGCUUAUCUGUUGACAGCGACAGUGUCUGCAAAUUUUCCUGCACUUCUGCUGCUGUUCCUUCUCUUCCCUCUCAGAACCAUGAUAAGGUUCCUUUUAAUGUCGUUUUCCACCCCACUUGCCUCAAUAUUCAAAGCAUAAUUUUCCAACCUUUUUGUCACUUCCAGUGUGAUGACACCAUCAAACACAUCUUACCAUACUUUCCCUUUUCAUCAUUUUGCAAGGACCAUUGGCUCCGUGAUAUUCUUUUCCACUCCUCAGCCAUCUCAAACACAGUGACCGCUUCCCAUGCAAGCACUACAUGUAACACCUGCCCUUCAACCUCCUCACUUUCCAUGCCCAUACAUUCUUUCCAAUUGAGUGUUUCCCACUCACUACUCACUGUGUGGUCUCCUUGACAUUGGAAAGUUCAAAUGCAGGUUGAGUGAUUCUUCAGAACGCCUCCAAUCUGUCCACAGACAUGACCACAAGUUUCUGGUGGCCUUUCGUUUUAAUUUGUCACCUUGCUGGCCUGCUGGCAUCUCUGUCCUCCGCCAAAAUGUGAUAUGUGGGCCUAUCACUUUUACCCUUUUGGCUCUGCAAGACUAAGAAUCUGUCACUGAGUCUCUCCUAACUCCACCCGUCACAGACCUAGUUUUAUCCUUUUCUGAAAACCUACCACAUCUAACGUUUCCCAGUUCUGAUGAAAGAUCAUUGAACUGAAAUGUGAAAUCUGCGGAGAGACACUUCACAGUUGCUGCCUAACCUGCUAAAUAUCCCAGCAUUUUCUGUACUUAUAUCAGAUUUAGAACUUUAUUGUGUGAAUCACUUCAAACGCCUUGUUAACGUAGCCUCGCAUCUUCCUGCAGUUUAGCUGUCACUCUGAUUUGACUGCGAGCACACCCAUAAAAUUAAAAACUCCAAAUUACCUGAAAAAAAGACUAUGCCAUUAAAUCAGUUUUUGAAUACCAUGUACACUGACUUGCUGAAUGUGUCACUUAAAAAAAAAAAUUAGGUGUUCAGAAGUACUGAACUAAAUAUGACAAGGUUGCUGGAGCCUAGAAGGAGUUAAGGCAAAAGCUAGUCGGUACCUCACCAUUAUUUUAUACUGUUAAGAACAGUUAGUAGAUUUUGCAACAUUUGUUGAUAUCAGAUUGGGUCCAAACAAGAUCUGCCAAAUUCAGCAUGUUUUUUAGACUAAAUAUAACAAGUAGCCACCGAAUUUGAUUCCAUUCUUACAUAAGCCCAACCUCUGUGACAGAGGUAGCCAGCUGCCAACCCUCAGGGGUAAAUCACAGAGCAGAGCCAGAAAUUACUAUUGAACUGGACAGCCAUGUUCAACAUGUAAGGUUAUGCUAUGGUGACAUCAUUGGUUGAAUAGAGUCAUAGAGAUGUACAGUUUGGAAAUAGACCCUUCGGUCCAACUCAUCUAUGCCAACCAGAUACCUAAAUUAAUCUAGCCCCGUUUGCCAUCAUUUGUCUCACAUCCCUCUAAACCCUUCCUAUUCAUAUACCCAUCCAGAUGCCUUUUAAAUGUUGUAAUUGUGCCAGCCUCCUCCACCUCCUCUGGCAGUUCAUUCCACAUACUCACCACCCUCUGCAUGAAAAAGUUGCCCCUUAGGUCCUUUUCAAAUCUUUCUCCUCUCACCUUUAAACCUAUGCGCUCUAGUUUUGGACUCUCCUACCUGGGGAAAUUACCUGGUCUAUUCAUCCUAUCUAUGCUCCUCAUGAUUUUAUAAACGCUCAAUAAGGUCACCCCUCAGCCUCCGGUGCUCCAGGGAACAUAGCCCCAGCCUAUUCACCCUCUCCCAAAGCUCACAUCCUCCAACCCUGGCAACAUCCUUGCGAAUCUUAUAAUCCAGAGGAUAAGAUAGAUCUGGUCCAGAGAAAGAUUUCAAGUUUCAGCCCUACAGUUCAUGAAGUUUAAUUUUAGUUUAGAAGUCUUGAAGUAAAAUUAGCUAUGAAGUUGGUUAUAGGUCUGUAAAACCCAAAAGGUCCGUUAAUCUCCUGAGAUUAAAAGAUGGGAGUCUGUACCUGGCUUGCGUUUCGUGACUAUAGUCCUUACCAUUGUGAUUCAAUCAACUGUCCUCUUCAGUGCACAAUAAACUUUUGCCUUGAGAACAACACUCUUAUUCGAAUGUUGAAAUGUUUGGAAAACCUUGCUUCAAUAUUUUGCUCACAAUUGAAAAGGUUUACAUAGUAUUCCUGAAACAAAGCACAGGAAAGGCAAUAAGUGCUGGCCAGCCUGCAGCACCCAUGUACAAUGAGUGGAUUGAGAAAAGAACAAAGGUUCACAGAUGGUUUAAAUAAAAACCGAAAGAACUGAGGAUACUGGAAAUCAGAAACGGAAAUUACUGGAAA